rnacentral:rRNA from 1 species
AUUGAACGCUGGCGGCAGGCCUAACACAUGCAAGUCGAGCGAGCGGCGGACGGGUGAGUAAUGUCUGGGAAACAGCCCGAUGGAGGGGGGUAACUACUGGAAACGGUAGCUCAUACCGCAUACCCUCAGAUGUGCCCAGAUGGGGUUAGCUGGUAGGUGGGGGAACGGCUCACCUAGGCGACGAGCCCUAGCGGGUCUGAGAGGAUGACCAGCACCACUGGAACUGAGACACGGCCCAGACUCCUACGGGAGGCAGCAGUGGGGAAUAUUGCACAAUGGGCGCAAGCCUGAUGCAGCCAUGCCGCGUGUGUGAAGAAGGCCUUCGGGUUGUAAAGCACUUUCAGCGGGGAGGCGUUACCCGCAGAAGAAGCACCGGCUAACUCCGUGCCAGCCGCCGCGGUAAUAC